UGAUUAAUUAAUAACUGUAAACAUCUAAUGUAGACUACUUGACAUCUAGUAAGCUUAGACAACCUCUCUCUGUUUUAUUUUGUAAUGUUUCCACAGUCUUUCUUUGCUUCGUGUGCUGUUGACUGACCUGCAGUUUCAGUUACAUGACUGUCACAAAUCUAGUCCCUGGUUAGGUUAAAGUUCUGAGGGGUCAUUCCUUUCUCUUGCCCAGGGACCCAAAAGGAAAAAACACCUGGAAACAGAAGUUAACAAAAGAACAUUCCCAUUCUAACUGGAUCUUAAUACAUUACCGUGCAUAGAGUUGUUAUGGCCUCAGAGAACUUAUUGAAUGGAGGUCAGAGUUUUCAUGGUGAAAAAUCUGAGUUUAAUCUUCUGAGCAGCCACGGUGAGAACCAUGAAAGCAGCCGGCCAUCAACUCAGACCAGGCCGAUGAGAGAUGACAGAAGGGGAUACAUAGCACGAGCACUCUCAAGGGACUCUGGAGUUAGCUCCAUAGAGCAUUACCUGGUACCGGACAGCAAUGAAAUGUGGAGCAGCUAUGGACCAGAGGAUUCUACUGAAGAAUCCGUGGACACAAGUACAUUUUCUGAGGAAGAGCUUCUUGAUAUAACAUUUGAGGCAUGCAAUACCACUGGCACAGGUACAGAUCAUCUCUUGUAA
rnacentral:lncRNA from 1 species